CCUACGGGUGGCAGCAGUGGGGAAUAUUGGACAAUGGGGGGAACCCUGAUCCAGCCACGCCGCGUGUGUGAAGAAGGCCCUCGGGUUGUAAAGCACUUUCAGUGAGGAAGAACGCCUGGUGGUUAAUACCCAUCAGGAAAGACAUCACUCACAGAAGAAGCACCGGCUAACUCCGUGCCAGCAGCCGCGGUAAUACGGAGGGUGCGAGCGUUAAUCGGAAUUACUGGGCGUAAAGCGCGCGUAGGUGGCUUGAUAAGCCGGUUGUGAAAGCCCCGGGCUCAACCUGGGAACGGCAUCCGGAACUGUCAAGCUAGAGUGCAGGAGAGGAAGGUAGAAUUCCCGGUGUAGCGGUGAAAUGCGUAGAGAUCGGGAGGAAUACCAGUGGCGAAGGCGGCCUUCUGGACUGACACUGACACUGAGGUGCGAAAGCGUGGGUAGCAAACAGGAUUAGAUACCCCAGUAGUC
rnacentral:rRNA from 1 species